rnacentral:rRNA from 1 species
UACGGAGGGUGCAAGCGUUAUCCGGAUUCACUGGGUUUAAAGGGUGCGUAGGCGGGUAUAUAAGUCAGUGGUGAAAGCUCCGAGCUUAACUUGGAAACUGCCAUUGAUACUGUAUAUCUUGAAUAUCGUAGAGGUUAGCGGAAUGUUGCAUGUAGCGGUGAAAUGCUUAGAUAUGUUACAGAACACCAAUUGCGAAGGCAGCUAACUAUGCGACAAUUGACGCUGAGGCACGAAAGCGUGGGAGCAAACAGG